rnacentral:rRNA from 1 species
UACAGGGGGGGCAAGCGUUGUUCGGAAUUACUGGGCGUAAAGGGCUCGUAGGCGGCCAACUAAGUCACACGUGAAAUCCCCAGGCUUAACCGGGGAACUGCGUCCGAUACUGGAUGGCUUGAGUUCGGGAGAGGGAUGCGGAAUUCCAGGUGUAGCGGUGAAAUGCGUAGAUAUCUGGAGGAACACCGGUGGCGAAGGCGGCAUCCUGGACCGACACUGACGCUGAGGAGCGAAAGCCAGGGGAGCAAACGGG